UACGUAGGGGGCAAGCGUUGUCCGGAAUCAUUGGGCGUAAAGCGCGUGUAGGCGGCCCGAUAAGUCCGCUGUGAAAGUCCAGGGCUCAACCCUGGGAUGCCGGUGGAUACUGUCGGGCUCGAGUCCGGAAGAGGCGAGUGGAAUUCCUGGUGUAGCGGUGAAAUGCGCAGAUAUCAGGAGGAACACCAAUGGCGAAGGCAGCUCGCUGGGACGUGACUGACGCUGAGACGCGAAAGCGUGAGGAGCAAACAGG
rnacentral:rRNA from 1 species